AGAGUUUGAUUCUGGCUCAGGACGAACGCUGGCGGCGUGCUUAACACAUGCAAGUCGAACGAUGAAGCCUAGCUUGCUAGGUGGAUUAGUGGCGAACGGGUGAGUAAUACGUGAGUAACCUACCUUUAACUCUGGGAUAAGCCCGGGAAACUGGGUCUAAUACCGGAUACGACCAAUCUCCGCAUGGGGUGUUGGUGGAAAGCGUUAUGUAGUGGUUAUAGAUGGGCUCACGGCCUAUCAGCUUGUUGGUGAGGUAACGGCUCACCAAGGCGACGACGGGUAGCCGGCCUGAGAGGGUGACCGGCCACACUGGGACUGAGACACGGCCCAGACUCCUACGGGAGGCAGCAGUGGGGAAUAUUGCACAAUGGGCGCAAGCCUGAUGCAGCGACGCCGCGUGAGGGAUGACGGCCUUCGGGUUGUAAACCUCUGUUAGCAGGGAAGAAGAGAAAUUGACGGUACCUGCAGAGAAAGCGCCGGCUAACUACGUGCCAGCAGCCGCGGUAAUACGUAGGGCGCGAGCGUUGUCCGGAAUUAUUGGGCGUAAAGAGCUUGUAGGCGGUUUGUCGCGUCUGCUGUGAAAGGCCGGGGCUUAACCCCGUGUAUUGCAGUGGGUACGGGCAGACUAGAGUGCAGUAGGGGAGACUGGAAUUCCUGGUGUAGCGGUGGAAUGCGCAGAUAUCAGGAGGAACACCGAUGGCGAAGGCAGGUCUCUGGGCUGUAACUGACGCUGAGAAGCGAAAGCAUGGGGAGCGAACAGGAUUAGAUACCCUGGUAGUCCAUGCCGUAAACGUUGGGCACUAGGUGUGGGGGACAUUCCACGUUUUCCGCGCCGUAGCUAACGCAUUAAGUGCCCCGCCUGGGGAGUACGGCCGCAAGGCUAAAACUCAAAGGAAUUGACGGGGGCCC
rnacentral:rRNA from 1 species